UACGAAGGGGGCUAGCGUUGCUCGGAAUGACUGGGCGUAAAGGGCGCGUAGGCGGAUGGCACAGUCAGAUGUGAAAUUCCCGGGCUUAACCUGGGGGCUGCAUUUGAUACGUGUUGUCUAGAGUGAGGAAGAGGGUUGUGGAAUUCCCAGUGUAGAGGUGAAAUUCGUAGAUAUUGGGAAGAACACCGGUGGCGAAGGCGGCAACCUGGUCCUUGACUGACGCUGAGGCGCGAAAGCGCGGGGAGCGAACGGG
rnacentral:rRNA from 1 species